UUUUUUUUUUUUUUUUUAAAGACAGCAUCUCACUCUGUGGCCCAGGCUGGAGUGUGGUGGCACUAUCACAGUUCAUUACAGCCUCAACGUCUCGGACUCAGAUGAUCCUGCCACCUCAAUCUCCCAAGUAGUUGGGACCACAGCUCUAAUCACAGGAACUGCAAGUUACAGGAAGACACACAGUUACAGAGUUCUUCAGUCAGCAGAGCUUAAGAGGUAAUGAGAGAUCACCAGGCUAGGAGGAUAGAGAAGCCUGAAUUCUGCUAAGGAAUAGACAUAAACAACUGCCAGCCAUUAUUCUGGAGGUCACAAGAAGUGAUUCAGCACUCAGGAUUAUUGCCCACACCCCUACGAUUGCACCCCCAAGCAAUCACCAGCAAGCACCCAAUGCCUAGCCAUCCCCACCCCUUCCCCCAAACUACCUUUGAAAAACCCCUAACCUACCAGCCUUCAAUGAGAUUGAUUUGAGUAAUAACUCCAUCUCCAGUGUGGAGUGGCCAGCCUCACAUCAAUUAAACUCUUUCUUUACUGCAAUGCUAUGGUCUUUGUUUGUGCAGCAGGCAGGAAGAACUCCUCAGGCAGUUACACUUCGAGCCUUAAGACACCUUGAUGUCAGACUUCCAGUGCCCUGAAUUGUGACAGAAUAAAUUUCUGUUGUUUUAAAACUCCCAAGUUUGUGACAGUUUGUUAUGGCAGUUCUAGGA
rnacentral:lncRNA from 1 species